rnacentral:rRNA from 1 species
GUCGUUCGAGACCAGGACGUUGAUAGGUCGGGUGUGGAAGCGCAGUAAUGCGUUAAGCUAACCGAUACUAAUUGCUCGUGAGGCUUGAUCCUAUAACCUU